GAUUUAAUUUCCAAAACAUUAACAUUUGCUAAAGUUUGCAUAAAGUAAUUUUUGUUUGAUAAAAAAAAUGCCAUCUCAUACAUGUAUUGUGUGUAAAUUAAAGUUGACAUUUGUGAAGCAAAGAAAGCUUGCCGUUUCCUUUCACGCAUUUCCAAGGUAUCCAUACACAAAACAAGCAUGGAUAGAGUUUUGCGGCACCGACACAGGUGUGGUGUGCUCGGGACACUUUUCCGACGACUGCUUUAUUGCUGGGCUUGAAGAUAAUUAUAAACGUCGCCGAUUGUUUGCAUGGGCUGUACCCACUAUUCGAGUCCCAGGAAAAAUAAAUGGAACAAGCAUUUUAUCUGAAAACAGUUCAUCGAGUUUGCGUGAAUCUAUUCAACCAGAAAUUUCAAAGUCCGUUGACUCGAAGGAAGCUACGCACAUUUUGGCGGAUGAUAUAAUUUUAACACAGAGUGCAAGAAUUUCCCAGCUCAAGGCCCAAGUGCAGGAGCAUAAAUCAAAGCUGGAAGACACGAACAAAAAGUUACACGAGAUGGAAAGAGCGAUCUUCGAGCGAGAUUGCGUAAUCGAAGACCUUCGAAAAACUCUGGACGACGUGACGAGAAAUUCAUAUUCAGAGACUCUUCAUGUUGAUUUUAUAGACGAUAUCAAAAUUGAGGAUAGUGAGCUUCAAUCGUCUUGAAUUAACAUCUUAAACUUAAAAUUAAAUUUGCUUUAUUCCGUGACGAA